rnacentral:rRNA from 1 species
AUUGAACGCUGGCGGCAGGCCUAACACAUGCAAGUCGAACGAGUGGCGGACGGGUGAGUAAUGUCUGGGAAACUGCCUGAUGGAGGGGGAUAACUACUGGAACCGGUAGCUAAUACCGCAUACCAUCAGAUGUGCUCAGGUGGGAUUAGCUGGUGGGUGGGGUAACGGCUCACAAAGGCGACGAUCCCUAGCUGGUCUGAGAGGAGGACCGGGCACACGGGAACUGAGACACGGUACAGACUCCUACGGGAGGCAGCAGUGGGGAAUAUUGCACAAUGGUCGAAAGCCUGAUGCAGCCAGGCCGCGUGUAUGAAGAAGGCCUUCGGGUUGUAAAGUACUUUCAGCGGGGAGGCGUUACCCGCAGAAGAAGCACCGGCUAACUCCGUGCCAGCCGCCGCGGUAAUAC